UAAGGAAUAUUGGACAAUGGAGGCAACUCUGAUCCAGCCAUGCCGCGUGAAGGAAUAAGGCCCUAUGGGUUGUAAACUUCUUUUAGACGGGACAAAACCCCUUUACGUGUAAAGGGUUGAUGGUACUGUCAGAAUAAGCAUCGGCUAACUUCGUGCCAGCAGCCGCGGUAAUACGGAGGAUGCAAGCGUUAUCCGGAAUUAUUGGGUUUAAAGGGUGCGUAGGCGGACUAAUAAGUCAGUGGUGAAAGCCUGCAGCUUAACUGCAGAAUUGCCAUUGAUACUGUUAGUCUUGAGUACAGUUGAGGUAGGCGGAAUGUGUCAUGUAGCGGUGAAAUGCUUAGAUAUGACACAGAACACCGAUUGCGAAGGCAGCUUGCUAAGCUGUAACUGACGCUGAGGCACGAAAGCGUGGGGAGCAAACA
rnacentral:rRNA from 1 species